UUACUUUAGAAGUUCUUGUACUAAUAAUAGAACAAUAUAAAGAAGAUUAGCAUGGCCCCUUUGCAGUGAUGACUUGCAAAUUCAUGAAACAUUCUAUAUUUUA